rnacentral:rRNA from 1 species
UACGUAGGGGGCAAGCGUUGUCCGGAUUUAUUGGGCGUAAAGAGCGUGUAGGCGGCCAGAUAGGUCUGUUGUGAAAACUCGAGGCUCAACCUCGAGACGCCGGUGGAACCGUAUGGCUAGAGUCCGGAAGAGGAGAGUGGAAUUCCUGGUGUAGCGGUGAAAUGCGCAGAUAUCAGGAGGAACACCGUGGCGAAGGCGGCUCUGGCGGUCAACUGACUCUGAGGAGCGAAAGCGUGGGGAGCGAACAGGAUUAGAUACCCCGUAGUCAGUCCAAGACCAAGUCUCGUCUGACCUGACCGA